rnacentral:snRNA from 1 species
CUACUCGCUUCGGCAGUACAUAUACUAAAAUUGGAACGAUACAGAGAAGAUUAGCAUUGCCCCUGCACAAGGAUGACACGCAAAAUCGUGAAGCGUUCCACAUUUUU